rnacentral:rRNA from 1 species
GUAGGUGGCAAGCGUUGUCCGGAAUUAUUGGGCGUAAAGCGCGCGCAGGCGGUUCUUUAAGUCUGAUGUGAAAGCCCACGGGCUCAACCGUGGAGGGUCAUUGGAAACUGGAGAACUUGAGUACAGAAGAGGAAAGCGGAAUUCCACGUGUAGCGGUGAAAUGCGUAGAGAUGUGGAGGAACACCAGUGGCGAAGGCGGCUUUCUGGUCUGUAACUGACGCUGAGGCGCGAAAGCGUGGGGAGCAAACAGGAUUAGAUACCCUGGUAGUCCACGCCGUAAACGAUGGGUGCUAAGUGUUAGGGGGUUUCCGCCCCUUAGUGCUGCAGCUAACGCAUUUAGCACUCCGCCUGGGGAGUACGGCCGCAAAGGCUG